rnacentral:rRNA from 1 species
AGAACGAACGCUGGCGGCAGGCUUAACACAUGCAAGUCGAACGGCUGUAGCAAUACAGCAGUGGCAGACGGGUGAGUAACACGUGGGAACGUGCCCAAAGGUACGGAACAACUCCGGGAAACUGGAGCUAAUACCGUAUGUGCCCGAAAGGGGAAAGAUUUAUCGCCUUUGGAUCGGCCCGCGUCUGAUUAGCUAGUUGGUAGGGUAAUGGCCUACCAAGGCGACGAUCAGUAGCUGGUCUGAGAGGAUGGCCAGCCACACUGGGACUGAGACACGGCCCAGACUCCUACGGGAGGCAGCAGUGGGGAAUAUUGGACAAUGGGCGCAAGCCUGAUCCAGCCAUGCCGCGUGAGUGAUGAAGGCCUUAGGGUUGUAAAGCUCUUUCGCCAGGGACGAUAAUGACGGUACCUGGAUAAGAAGCCCGGCUAACUUCGUGCCAGCAGCCGC